AGCAUAGUUCCACGUGAAGCUGAAACUCCAAUGAGCACGUUAACUACUGCACAGUGCAUGCAACAUGUCCGUUUGACAGACAUUCCCUCCCUCGCUCCCGUAGUGUUUUGCAAACGUGCAGAAGCGGGUGCAGAGCACAUGAAGUACUUGCGAGGACUAGCACACCAGCAAAGUGCGAUCUUCCCCAUCCCAAAAGAGCAUUUUGAGCAGAUCUCCUCUGUGGGUACAAGGAUGGCUCUGGAGGAUGGAGACAUCAUGAAGGUGCUUGAGAAGCUUCAGCAUCUGUCAGAAGCCACUUCACUUGAAAUUGGAGGCUUCUGCGUGAUCCUCCUCUUUGUCAUCACGUUCGUUAGCUUGAUGAUGGUCCCUUGCCUUCAGUGCUGCUGUUGUGCCGAGUCAAAUUAUCAAACCUCCAGGGUGGAACCGCACCAGGCCAUUUGAAGAUCAAAAAAAGGACAAAUCCUUUCCCAAAUUACCAACAUGGAGCAAGGAUUUUAUAUUCGUUCUUCUAUUUUUGGAGAUCUUUCGGGAAUGCCAUCACAUAUGCGUCAUCAGAAAUGAUCAAGACUCAAAUUCAAUCCGAAUAUCCUUGAUGUUAUUCUGUGUUUUGUUGUAUUAUACUACAGUAUUAAAGUGUACAUGAUGUCUCAAUGCGAGAAAUGUCAUAACUGCUAUACUUAUUCUUGUACUAUAUUUUAUAAGAGCAUGUCAGAGAGCGCAUGUUUUUUCCCGCUAAUUUUCUAUGAAUAAACUAUGAUGAAAAUCUA